GUCAGGGCAUUGGAAUGAGGGUAAGGAGAUGUCAGGGCAUUGGAAUGAGGGUAAGGAGAUGUCAGGGCAUUGGAAUGAGGGUAAGGAGAUGUCAGGGCAUUGGAAUGAGGGUAAGGAGAUGUCAGGGCAUUGGAAUGAGGGUAAGGAGAUGUCAGGGCAUUGGAAUGAGGGUAAGGAGAUGUCAGGGCAUUGGAAUGAGGGUAAGGAGAUGUCAGGGCACUGGAAUGAGGGUAAGGAGAUGUCAGGGCACUUGGGGUGAGAUCUGUCCAUUUAUGGAGAACAACAUGGUAGUCACUAUAAUCAAUGAAUCGCCACGACGAUAAUCCCUGGAUCUAGGGUGUGUGUGGGGGGGGCUCAUAUAUAGAGUGUAUAGGUUCUGUUAUACCUAUAGAUUGAGAGAGCUCUUUUCUGUGUAUGUCAUGAUUGUACUGUGCCACCCAUACACACACACACACACACACACCACAGUAGCUUGUUGAAUCCACUGUACUGUAGAUGGAUAGAUAGCCACGACUUCAGGUCAUUCAUUUCACCUCGUUCAUAACUGUGUCUCUAAAGAAGAGUCUGUGGAGACAGUGUGAUGUCACACUAACACUAGUUUUGCUUUGUUGCACAAAUUAUACUAAUGAGCUGUUUUCUCAUGGGGUUCUCAUGGUUUCUCAUCGGUUUCUCAUGGUUGUUUCUCAUGGGUUUUUCAUGGGUUUCUCAUGGGUUUUUCAUGGGUUAUCAUGGGUUUUCAUGGGUUUAUCUUGGGUUUCUCAUGUUUUUUCAUGUUUUUUCAUGGUUUCUCGUGUUUUUUCAUGGUUUCUCAUGUUUUUUCAUGGUUUCUCAUGUUUUUUCAUGGUUUCUCAUGUUUUUUCAUGGGUUCUCAUGUUUUUUCAUGGUUUCUCAUGGGUUUUCAUGGUUUCUUCAUGUUUUUUCAUGGGUUCUCGUGUUUUUUCAUGGGUUCUCAUGGGUUUCUUAUGGUUUCUUCAUGUUUUUUCAUGGUUUCUCAUGUCUUAUUCAGUUUCUUGUUUUUCUUUGUGCCUUUUGUAAAUGAGCAAUGAGGUGUCACCAUUAGAUUGAGGUUAUUUUUCUCGUCAUGUUUUUCUAGUUUGUCCGUUGGUCAUCGUGAGUGAGCUUUUUAUAUCAGUUUGCUUUUCCAACACGUCGUCGUAGCAUUGUUCACACGUUGUAAAGUUUCUACAGGAUCUAGUUACAGUUUGUAUUGAUGUGCCACUGACUCAUCCAACCUAAACACUAGUAUUUUAUACAAUAAAAAAAAAAGGAGUUCUAUCCUAGAGAUGAUAUUCUGUGUGACCUGGAAAUGUAUAGCACAUGUUAAUGACGUUGUCGUAGCGACUGUGUUUACUAAACAACAUCUAUAGGCCGAGUCUGGAACUAGAGAAUUAGAAUCAUUCUAAUUCUGUGUGACUGAAAACAGCCAAGGCUUGAAAAAAAUCCCAUGGUUGAAUAGUGUGAAUCUCUGGCCCUGAUUUGAGUACUUUAACAAUGCAUCCUACCAUCAUCUUCUCCUUGAGGUCAUAUAAUCACUGAUUAGGAAGGGAUUGGAUUAAGUGAAUGCAUGUUUGCCAUCAUGUUUACACCUAUCUUAACGUUAUCAGAUCAGUGAUGACUUCGAGGGAUUGGGGAUGCAUCUGUGAGGUAUUUGAACAGGCUUUAGAUCAGAUCAGUGAUGACUUCGAGGGAUUGAGGAUGCAUCUGUGAGGUAUUUGAACAGGCUUUAGAUAGAGAUAUCGUGAUGUGUUCACCUCACGCUAAAGAUCGCCGAUGUAGUUCUGCUCAUGUACUGUAGGUCUGACACUGACUUAUAGGAUGUUGUACAAACUUGAAAAUGUAAAUAAAAUGAAUUAGCUUUGGCAUGACCAAGGA